ACGGUCCUAAGGUAGCGAAAUUCCUUGUCAGGUAAGUUCUGACCCGCACGAAAGGCGUAACGAUUUGGGCGCUGUCUCAGCUGUAGACUCGGUGAAGUCUUAGUACCUGUGAAGAUGCAGGUUACCCGCGACUAGACGGAAAGACCCCAUGGAGCUUCACUGCAGGUUGAUAUUGGGAUUUGAUGCAGCAUGUACAGGAUAGGUAGGAGGCAAAGAGAUGGAUACGCCAGUAUUCAAGGAGCCGCUGUUGGGAUACUACCCCUGUUGUAUUGGAUUUCUAACCGGACGACGUAAAGCCGUUGACGGGACAGUGUCAGUCGGGCAGUUUGACUGGGGCGGUCGCCUCCCAAAGAGUAACGGAGGCGCCCAAAGAUACCCUCAGCUUGGAUGGAAACCAAGCGCAGAGUGCAAAGGCAAAAGGGUGUUUGACUGCGAGACCUACAAGUCGAGCAGGGACGAAAGUCGGGCUUAGUGAUCCGGCGGUGCUGAAUGGAAAGGCCGUCGCUCAACGGAUAAAAGCUACCCUGGGGAUAACAGGCUGAUCUCCCCCAAGAGUCCACAUCGACGGGGAGGUUUGGCACCUCGAUGUCGGCUCAUCGCAUCCUGGGGCUGUAUUCGGUCCCAAGGGUUUGGCUGUUCGCCAAUUAAAGCGGUACGCGAGCUGGGUUCAGAACGUCGUGAGACAGUUCGGUCCCUAUCUGUCGUGGGCGCAGGAUAUUUGAGGAGUGCUGUCCUUAGUACGAGAGGACCGGGAUGGACGCACCUCUGGUGCACCAGUUGUCACGCCAGUGGCACAGCUGGGCAGCUAUGUGCGGAACGGAUAAACGCUGAAAGCAUCUAAGCGUGAAGCCGCCUCCAAGAUAAGAUAUCCCAUAGCAUAAGCUAGUAAGACCCCUCAUGGACUAAGAGGUUGAUAGGCUGCAUGUGUAAGCGUGGUGACACGUUUAGCUUGGCAGUACUAAUAGGUCGAGGGCUUGACUUU
rnacentral:rRNA from 1 species